rnacentral:misc_RNA from 1 species
UGCUGGAUCAUUACCCACCUGAUCACAAUUCACCACCUACCACAGUGUCUUUCAGUGUUUGAGCGCACGCAUCCCUUCAGCCGAGCUUUGCUGCUCGAUGUGCCCGUGUGGGGCAGGAAGGCGAUGUGUCCAGGCUUAUGCGUACGGGCCGUCACGCUGAGACACGCCCGCCCUGUGGGCUUUGAAUUGGUCGGGGUGUUGCCCGGCGCACAGUGUGCGUACCCAUCCCUCUAGCCGAGCUUUGCUGCUCGAUGUGUCCGUGUGGGGCAGGGAGGCGAUGAGUCCAGGCUCUCUCUUGAGCUGAGCUGUGUGCUGAGCAGCACGCCCACAAGGGCAACCAACGGCUGCCGCUGGCGUCUCUGCGUUGUUGAGUAGUUGUUGCGCGCACUCGUGCUGUGCGGAUGAUGAUGGUGUGGAACCACAUGGGGUGUCUCUUCGUGAACCCCCUCCAUGUCAUCGGUCCGCAUGAACUUGUGUGUGCUACGUCCGUGGCUAUGAUGAGACAAUGCGGUAGGGUUCGGCCUCGCGUGGCCGGGCUUAAGACUUGAUGAGCUCUCAGUAUGAGCCGCCAGCAACCAUUUUUUCAUUAAAACAUUUUUAAAGGCACAAUGCCAUGAAACAAAUUCUAGUCUUAUCGGUGGAUCACUCGGCUCGUGGGUCGAUGAAGAACGCAGCCAACUGCGAUAUGUAGUGUGAACUGCAGAAACCUUGAACACAGAAAAUUCGAAUGCACAUUGCGCCAUUGGAGUGACAUCCUUUGGCACGCCUGGUUCAGGGUCGUUAUCCUAAAACGCACAGCGUAUGCGUGCACAAACUGCUUGAUCAACGGUUGCUGCGCCGCGAGCGCAGCAGCCCGUUGUUCUCGCAUUCGUUGUCAGUGCGCCUGGGUGUGCGGGGAGCUGUGCUGGCAUGGACAUUGUGCAGAUUGUUUGCGUCCAUGUCUUACCAAAGUGGUAACUAAAGGGCACACGACCCGUACUCUCUUAAGGUAGCCAAAUGCCUCGGCAACUAAUUAUAUUCGCAUUUUCGACCUGAACUCAGACGUGAUCACCCGCUGAACUUAAGCAUAUCAGUAAGCGGAGGAAAAGAAACUAACGAGGAUUCCCGUAGUAACGGCGAGUGAACUGGGACGAGUCCAGCGCUGAAUCGCGGCGCCUCUGGUGCCGCGAGGUGUAGCGUACAGACCGUGAGCUUGGGUAGGCGUGUCCGUUCAAGUUCCCCUUGACCGGGGCUCCAGAGAAGGUGCAAGACCUGUCCAACGGAUGCUGCCGGCCCAUCUUCGCGCGUCUUGGAGUCGGGUUGUUUGGGAGCGCAGCCCAAAGUAGGUGGUAAACUUCAUCUAAGACUGAAUAUGACCACGAGUCCGAUAGCGAACAAGUACCGUGAGGGAAAGUUGCAAAGCACUUUGAAGAGAGAGUUAAAGAGGACGUGAAACCGAUGAGGUGGAAACGGACAGAGCUGGCGUAUCUGGCCUGCAUUCAGCCGCGCCCCGCUGGCGUCAGGGAUACCGCUCUCCAGAUUGGGACGGUGGCCUGUCUGCCGGCGGGUUUGUGGUGCAUUUGCAGGUGGAGUGCGCCGAGGCGCUCGGUGCAGCGGCAUGAGCUUGGCUUUGAGGCCAGCCCCUCACGGGGUCUGGUACCCGGGCCAGGGGAGUGCUGUUUGUGCUGGGUGGCAGCAAUGGGCAAUGGACUCGGGUUUUUGUGGGUACCGAGCUGGGGGUCGACGUCGGUCGCUUGCGACACGUGCUGGCACUCAGUUCGGUCCUGCUCGAGCUCACAUCUGCCCGUCCUCGGUGUAAAAGCCGGUCAUCUGUCCGACCCGUCUUGAAACACGGACCAAGGAGUUUAGCGUGUGCGCGAGUCAUUGGGCGUUGAAAACCCAAAGGCGUAAUGAAAGUGAAGGUCUCCCUUGCGGAGCUGACGUGUGAUCCUGGGCACUUCGGUGCGCUGGGCGCAACAUGGUCCCGUCCCGAUUGCUUGCAAUGGGGCGGAGACAGAGCGUACGCGCUGAGACCCGAAAGAUGGUGAACUAUUCCUGAGCAGGAUGAAGCCAGAGGAAACUCUGGUGGAAGUCCGAAGCGAUUCUGACGUGCAAAUCGAUCGUCUGACUUGGGUAUAGGGGCGAAAGACUAAUCGAACCAUCUAGUAGCUGGUUCCCUC